rnacentral:rRNA from 1 species
UACGUAUGGGGCGAGCGUUAUUCGGAUUCAUUGGGCGUAAAGCGUAUGUCGGGGGUCUGACAAGUCGGAGGUGAAAUUUUCCUGCUUAACAUGAAAAUUGCUUCCGAAACUGUCAGACUGGAGUUUUGGAGAGGAGAUUGGAAUUCCAGGUGUAGGGGUGAAAUCUGUAGAUAUCUGGAAGAACACCAGUGGCGAAGGCGAAUCUCUGGCCAAAAACUGACCCUUAGAUACGAAAGCCAGGGGAG